CACAGCUUGGAGUUUUUGUGCUGUUUGAUCACUGUGCUUUUAACCUAUGCUGUGACGUAAAUAGCUUUAUGCAUAGUUUUAAUUCUUACUGUGACCCUAUUGUAGGUGAAUUGGCACCAUUAAAAUGCAACUUUGCCCCCCGCAAGGUGUCAUGGUCCUGGAUUAAUGAAAAUAUUUUGAAACUCAGAAGAUCCUGUGGGAAAAUGUAACGUCUUUGGAAAUCCGCUAAGCUUGAAAUUUAUAUAUGUCAGGAAAUGGGGUUGUUGGCUUUGUGCACUGUCCUGUUUGGCUCCAGUUUUGCAGAUUCUCCACCAGAGGGCUUCCUGUAGUCGGCUCCUGAGCUGGGCGUGUCACCUCCUGCUGCACCUCCAUGCAGGUGACACUAAUCAAGUGCAAUCAGCCUCAGUCCACUGGCAGCAUAAAGGAGCAGGAAGCCAGUCACUCUUCGCCUGAGUGUUAACUAUCACUGGUAUUACCCAGUUCCAGUUCCUACGUGCAAUUUCGCCUGUGAACUUACCUCAGGCAUUACAAGGACCUCCGUUGUUACCUGGAUUACAUUCCCAAGAACGGCUUCCGUUCCGCUGACCAACCUAUCCAUCUUUGACCUCAUCUUCUGCACUACUUGUUCACCCAGCACCACUGCAGUCUUCACUACCCUCUGGAUUUCAUCAACGCUGUGGAACAAACAUCCAUUCACCGCAGUCCGUGCUGUUAACAACCCCACCGACUACUCACCUUCCCCCUGGCGUUCUGGUGUUCUCCACGUCGCUGUUUCCUCCCGUACCAGACUCUGAAGAAACCUAAUCUGAUCUUAAUAGCUUUAGGCCAAUAUCUAAACUCCCCUUUCUGGCCAAAUUGUUGGAAAAGGUGGUCUCUCUGCAACUUGCAUCCUUCUAGAGUCACACAAUGUCUAUGAAAAAUUACAGUCUAGAUAUCGCAAUCUACAUUCUACAGAAACAGCAUUACUUAAAGUGUCUAGCAACAUCAUGAUGGCUGCAGACUCGAGGAGGUGUUGGUCCUGCUAGACCUGUCUUUGGCCGUUGACGCAGUUGACCACCAGAUUCUCAUAAACAGGUUGUGGAAUCUGACUGGAAUGUCUGACACAAGUGAAACAGUGGUUAGGCAAUAAUAGUCUUCAACUGAACUCAAGGAAAACUGAGACUCUUAUCAUAGCUCCAGAUAGUGCUAUCCCUUCUAUUAAACAGCACUUAGGUGAUUUGAGCCUCUCAGCAAAAAACAAACUGGGGAAUCUUGGGGUUAUCUUUGAUGAGGCAAUGUCACUGGAUCACCAUGCUAAGCAGCUGGUUAAGAACUGUUUUUUUCUUCUGUGUGUCCAGAGAUGAGCUUGAAAUGAUAACUCAAGCAUUUGUAUCCUCGCAGUUGGACUAUUGCAACAGUCUCUUUUCUUAUCUUAACAAGAAAAAGCUGGCUCAUCUGCAGUAAGUUCAAUAUUCAGCUGCAAGACUUUUGACCAGAACGAACAGGUGGAAUCACAUCACACCUGUGUUAAAAUCUCUCCAUUGGCUCCCUGUUAUGUAUUGUACUCAGUUUAAAGUUUUAGUGCUAAUGUUUUGAACCCUACAUGGACAGGCUCCUGUCUGUAUUUGUGACCUAAUUAAGUCUUACAGCUCGACUCGUAGUCUGAGGUCAAAUGGACAGAACCUGUUAAUGAUUUCACGAAACUUUUUUUAAAACAAGAUGUGACCGUUCUUUGAAAGCUACUGCUCCUCAACUCUGGAAUGAACUUUAUCUCAAGCUGCACUCUUUGAACUCAGUACAUGUGUUCAAAAAGCUCCUUAAAACCUAUUUGUUUAGACAAGCAUUCCAGUCUUAACUGACCCAAUGUUGCCACUUUUGUAUUGUUCCAUUUUAAUGUUUUAGAUUGUAUGGUUUGAUUACUGUGAAACACUUUGUGACUCUGUGUCUGUGAAAAGUGCUAUAGAAAUAAAGUUUACUUACUUACUUUUAA